rnacentral:lncRNA from 1 species
UUUUCCUACCCCUGUCCAGGUGAGAAAGUUGAGGCUGAGAAAUAGUUUUAUAAAACUCUGAGGUACAUGUUAAAAUAUGCUUCUGUAUUAUUUAAAAAUGCAUAAGACUCUACAUUUAUUUGCGAGUGGUUAUAAAAGAAAUUCAUAGCUGUUCUUGCCAAUUAAUCUCUUUUAUGCUCUAUUUUUUUGUUGUUGUUGUUUAUAACCAUACCUUCCUUCUUCAAAAUUAAUUUCCUAUAGUCAUGUUUUGGUUUUCGACUUUAUUGAAAGGAAACUUCAGAAAUGAAGGUUUCAUGAAAUUGUGUGAUGCAAAGUCACAGAAUAAUGUUUCAAGUCCAUGAGUUAUGCACACCCACAUGCAUAUCUCAUGCAAUUUUCUAUCUGAGAUUGCUUUAGUAUUUCUAGAAGAAACACAAAGCAUUAGCUAGAAAGGGUACCAUUUCAUAAGAAUUCUUCCUUCACCAGAAGAAUUGGUCUGACAUAUUAUUCAGUGCACAAAUUAUAUUACUUUCAUGUGUGUUAAUCUGUUUGGUAUUAAAACUGCUAGCGUCUUUUAACCAUUAACAUGUUUUACCACUCCACUUUCAAAUUCGUGAUCUCAGAUAAUUAUAAAGAUUUUGAUGUUAAUCCCACAUUAAGUGAACAACUAUGAAAAUACCCUGAGAGCAUUAUUAUACUUACAUAAAUGCCAGCGAACAUAAUUGUACAGGGAACACAAUUACUUUUUUAUCUGCCAUUAUCCUAUGGGGAUAUGCGUUCACUUCUUUCUUAA